rnacentral:rRNA from 1 species
ACCUCCUUCGGGAGGGGAUUAGUGGCGAACGGGUGAGUAACACGUGGGCAAUCUGCCCUUCACUCUGGGACAAGCCCUGGAAACGGGGUCUAAUACCGGAUACGAGCCUCCAAGGCAUCUUGGAGGUUGGAAAGCUCCGGCGGUGAAGGAUGAGCCCGCGGCCUAUCAGCUUGUUGGUGAGGUAAUGGCUCACCAAGGCGACGACGGGUAGCCGGCCUGAGAGGGCGACCGGCCACACUGGGACUGAGACACGGCCCAGACUCCUACGGGAGGCAGCAGUGGGGAAUAUUGCACAAUGGGCGAAAGCCUGAUGCAGCGACGCCGCGUGAGGGAUGACGGCCUUCGGGUUGUAAACCUCUUUCAGCAGGGAAGAAGCGAAAGUGACGGUACCUGCAGAAGAAGCGCCGGCUAACUACGUGCCAGCAGCCGCGGUAAUACGUAGGGCGCAAGCGUUGUCCGGAAUUAUUGGGCGUAAAGAGCUCGUAGGCGGCUUGUCACGUCGGGUGUGAAAGCCCGGGGCUUAACCCCGGGUCUGCAUUCGAUACGGGCUAGCUAGAGUGUGGUAGGGGAGAUCGGAAUUCCUGGUGUAGCGGUGAAAUGCGCAGAUAUCAGGAGGAACACCGGUGGCGAAGGCGGAUCUCUGGGCCAUUACUGACGCUGAGGAGCGAAAGCGUGGGGAGCGAACAGGAUUAGAUACCCUGGUAGUCCACGCCGUAAACGGUGGGAACUAGGUGUUGGCGACAUUCC